UACCCGCUGAACUUAAGCAUAUCAAUAAGCGGAGGAAAAGAAACUAACAAGGAUUCCCCUAGUAACUGCGAGUGAAGCGGGAAAAGCUCAAAUUUAAAAUCUGGCGGUCUUUGGCCGUCCGAGUUGUAGUCUGGAGAAGUGCUUUCCGUGCUGGACCGUGUAUAAGUCUCUUGGAACAGAGCGUCAUAGAGGGUGAGAAUCCCGUCUUUGACACGGACUACCAGUGCUUUGUGAUGCGCUCUCAAAGAGUCGAGUUGUUUGGGAAUGCAGCUCAAAAUGGGUGGUGAAUUCCAUCUAAAGCUAAAUAUUGGCGAGAGACCGAUAGCGAACAAGUACCGUGAGGGAAAGAUGAAAAGCACUUUGGAAAGAGAGUUAAACAGUACGUGAAAUUGCUGAAAGGGAAACGCUUGAAGUCAGUCGCGUUGUCCGGAACUCAGCCUUGCUUUCGCUUGGUGCACUUUCCGGAUGACGGGUCAGCAUCGAUUUUGACCGUCGGAAAAGGGCUGGAGUAAUGUGGCACCUCCGGGUGUGUUAUAGACUCUGGUCGCAUACGGCGGUUGGGAUCGAGGAACGCAGCGCGCCGCAAGGCAGGGGUUCGCCCACUUUCGCGCUUAGGAUGCUGGCAUAAUGGCUUUAAACGACCCGUCUUGAAACACGGACCAAGGAGUCUAACAUACCUGCGAGUGUUUGGGUGGAAAACCCGAGCGCGUAAUGAAAGUGAAAGUUGAGAUCCCUGUCGUGGGGAGCAUCGACGCCCGGACCUGACGUUCUCUGACGGAUCCGCGGUAGAGCAUGUAUGUUGGGACCCGAAAGAUGGUGAACUAUGCCUGAAUAGGGUGAAGCCAGAGGAAACUCUGGUGGAGGCUCGUAGCGAUUUCUGACGUGCAAAUCGAUCGUCAAA
rnacentral:rRNA from 1 species